rnacentral:misc_RNA from 1 species
GACGAAGGAUGCAAGCGUUAUCCGGAUUCAUUGGGUUUAAAGGGUGCGUAGGCGGACGCAUAAGUCAGUGGUGAAAGCUCCAGGCUUAACUUGGAAACUGCCAUUGAUACUGUGUGUCUUGAGUACAGAUGAUGUUGGCGGAAUAUGACAUGUAGCGGUGAAAUGCAUAGAUAUGUCAUAGAACACCGAUUGCGAAGGCAGCUGACAAAACUGUAACUGACGCUGAGGCACGAAAGUGCGGGGAUCAAACAGG